rnacentral:lncRNA from 1 species
CUUUGAACCCGAGAGAGCUACCUUCUUCCCCCGCUGAGAGAGACUCAUAUAUCCCGUGAGAACCCUCCAGCUUGCACGGGAAUAGGCGCGGACGGCUGGGAUUUGGAAGGGGAAGCGAGAGAUUCGCAUGCGGUGGAGACACGUCGGCUGGAUGAGGCUGUGGAUGCGGGAGAAUCGGACGCGGAAACGAACGGGAAGAGCAUCCUUAGCCAGCCGCAAGAUCCCGGACGCGGAUCACCUGGACGCGGAAUGACUGAGAGAGGCUGGAUUGCACGCGGACGCUGGGAGCUGAUGUGGCUGGAACUCGGAUGAUUGCGAAUCCGGGAGGCUGCAGUGGCCUGGAGGAUCCGAUCGUGG